CAACAUGUAUGAGUAUGUAUUAAACAAUGAGGAAAAUAACAUAUAUGUAUAUCCAAAGAGUUACAUUUACCCAGCUCCAGAGUUUCGAAUAUCACACAAGGAUUCUAAAGCCCCACUGAAAUGUUUCACAUCAAAUCUGUGGUUACCUUUUCUUCUUUCUUUUCUUGUUAUUGUUCUUUUUCGUUUUCAUGUCCUUUUUCUUGCCUUUUUCUUUGUCUUCUCCUCUUAUCGAGGCCAUAAAUAAAUGGCAUAUAUAUCCAAAAUAUGAUAACAAAAGGUUACUUUCAUCAAAAAACUUAUCUGCAGUGGAUUCAGGUGAAAUCAGUUGAAAUCAGCUUCUUCUCCAUUGGUUCAGUUCCUAAUCCGUUUCGGCAUGAAAACAUAAGUCCAGAACAUAUAUGUCACAAAGAGUCCUAUGAUUCAAAGAAAUGGCACACA